AAAAAGAUAAACCGUGGGUUUCCGUGCCAACAUUUAACUGUCCGUUUUAUAUGAAACUUUUUUUAUAAUUAGUAUUUUCAUUAUUGUUAGAUGAUAAAACAUGAUUAAUACUUUAUGCGUGACUUAUCUUUUUAAUUUUUUCAUAAUUUUUUAAAUA
rnacentral:pre_miRNA from 1 species